AGUUCAGUUGGUUAGAAUACCUGCCUGUCACGCAGGGGGUCGCGGGUUCGAGUCCCGUC
rnacentral:tRNA from 1 species